GAUGAAGAACGCAGCGAAAUGCGAUAAGUAAUGUGAAUUGCAGAAUUCAGUGAAUCAUCGAAUCUUUGAACGCAUCUUGCGCUCCUUGGUAUUCUGAGGAGCAUGCCUGUUUGAGUGUCAUUAAAUUCUCAACUACACUGACUUUGAAUUGGUGUGGCUUGGAUUUGGGGGGAAAAUUGUUGUGGGCUUUUUGUAUAGUCUGCUCCCCUGAAAUUGAUUAGCGGUACCUUUGUGGAACUGUCUACAGGUGUGAUAAUUAUCUACAUCUUAGACAUCUGCUGGAAUGCUGCUUUCUAAACCUUACUUGUAUUGACAAUCUUGACCUCAAAUCAGGUAGGACUACCCGCUGAACUUAAGCAUAUCAAUAAGCGAGGA
rnacentral:misc_RNA from 1 species